GGGAGCUGCUCCCCAAGCAGGAGUCAUUGCCAGGAGCCACCCCCUUCCCUGCCUCAUGUACUCUCUGCCUUGGACUGCACCGGUCCUGGCCAGCCAGCCUGGGAGGACAGGUAACCAUGGAGGCCAGGAGGCAAGGGCGGUCCAGGAGCAGACCCAGGACGGCCAGGUUGGCUGGGUCAUGGAAGUUAUGCUUGCUAUUCCAGUCCUGCAGGAGGAAGUUGCCUGUGUCCUCGCUGGAGCAGCAUAAUAAUCUCAAUAAAACCUCCAACUUCUUAAGAGCAAUUCUUCUCUGCUACAACGUUCCAGGCAGCUUGUCUGAAUUACAUCUUCUAUCAUCACAAUCGAUGAAUCGUCAAGAGAGUAAACAGUUAUUUCUACUAGGUCUCCAGUACUG